rnacentral:rRNA from 1 species
UACGUAGGGUGCGAGCGUUAAUCGGAAUUACUGGGCGUAAAGCGUGCGCAGGCGGUUUCGUAAGUCCUGUGUGAAAUCCCCCGGCUCAACUGGGGAACUGCACAGGAAACUGCGAGGCUUGAGUUCGGGAGAGGGAAGCGGAAUUCCGGGUGUAGCGGUGAAAUGCGUAGAUAUCGUAAGGAAGACCAGUGGCGAAGGCGGGUCUCUGGACAGUUCCUGACGCUGAGGCACGAAGGCCAGGGGAGCAAACGGG